rnacentral:rRNA from 1 species
GCAGUCGAACGAUGAAGCCCAGCUUGCUGGGUGGAUUAGUGGCGAACGGGUGAGUAACACGUGAGUAACCUGCCCUUGACUCUGGGAUAAGCCUGGGAAACUGGGUCUAAUACUGGAUAUGACCUCUUGCCGCAUGGUGGGAGGUGGAAAGAUUUAUUGGUCUUGGAUGGACUCGCGGCCUAUCAGCUUGUUGGUGAGGUAAUGGCUCACCAAGGCGACGACGGGUAGCCGGCCUGAGAGGGUGACCGGCCACACUGGGACUGAGACACGGCCCAGACUCCUACGGGAGGCAGCAGUGGGGAAUAUUGCACAAUGGGCGCAAGCCUGAUGCAGCGACGCCGCGUGAGGGAUGACGGCCUUCGGGUUGUAAACCUCUUUCAGUAGGGAAGAAGCGAAAGUGACGGUACCUGCAGAAGAAGCGCCGGCUAACUACGUGCCAGCAGCCGCGGUAAUACGUAGGGCGCGAGCGUUAUCCGGAAUUAUUGGGCGUAAAGAGCUCGUAGGCGGUUUGUCGCGUCUGUCGUGAAAGUCCGGGGCUUAACUCCGGAUCUGCGGUGGGUACGGGCAGACUAGAGUGCAGUAGGGGAGACUGGAAUUCCUGGUGUAGCGGUGAAAUGC